ensembl:lncRNA
UUUAGAGUGAGUGCAGUAACACUGGGAUAUAAGUGGGUGCGCUGUAUCAGAGUGAAUGAUCUACGGAUAGAUUUUGCAGGCCAACAAAUUAAAAAGACCUGUGUUACAUUGGAUGGUUGCUGAAGCAUAUGUAGUACAUUAGAUAUUUCAGUUGUAGCUGGUAUCAAGUUUGAAUGAAAGGUUUAUAGAUCCUUAUAAUGGUUAUAGUACCUGGUUGUAUUGCAUAAGAGUAAGGGAAGAUAAAUAACUGCGCAUUUUUAUUAUUUAAAUUGAGUGAUUCGAACUGACGUAUGUUUGCAGGUUUGAGUGAUUCAACCGUGUAUGUUUGCAGGUUUGAGUGAUUCAACCAUGUAUGUUUGCAGGUUUGAGUGAUUCAACCGUGUAUGUUUGCAGGUUUGAGUGAUUCGAACUGAUGUAUGUUUGAAGGUUUGAGAGAGUUGAACCGUAUGAUUGUGGUACAUUAGGUAUUAAGUCAAUGUACUAGGUUAUGUUUUGAAACGGUAAAGGAGAAGUGCACGGUGUUUACUAGACAGUGGCUAGAUUGGGACACAUUCUAAGGCAGCACACAAUUGAACCUGAUCAUUUAUAUUGUAUUCAAAUUAAAAACAAGUAAUUGAAAUACAUUAGACAAUGGCUAAUCAGGAGGCAGAGAAGGUGUUGAAAAUAUUGAAAUCAGCAUUAGAGACCAAUGGAGGAAAAGAGGGAAAGGACUGGAAGAAGAAAGGAGAAAAACUAUACAGGGAGUGGACAGAAGAGGGCGGCAUUGCCGCGCCCAACGGGCUCCCAGUCGAGGGGGAACCUGGUAGGAUAUUGGAGACGUUGAAGCGG